rnacentral:tRNA from 1 species
ACUUAAAUAGCUUAUGUUUAGAGCAUAAUAUUGAAGAUAUUAGGGAAAUUAAUGUAAUUUUUAAGUA